rnacentral:rRNA from 1 species
GACUGCGGAGGAUCAUU